rnacentral:lncRNA from 1 species
GGGGCGGGGCCUGACCGCCAAGCUGCUUGGUCGCACAAAGCGUGUGCUCCGCGUGAGAAUCCACUAUUGAGCUCUUUAAAGGAUAUUUAUCCCAAAAAAUCUGCCAACUUUGAAGCUGGGAAGAAUAAGUGUAACCCUGAGACUCAAUUUGGGGGGUCAUAACGGACAACCUAAACUUGACGACAAAGUGCGGCCUACCGGUAGAGACGGGCAGGGGAGAGGCGGCCGAUCUCCCUGCGAGCUGCUCAGCUGGAAGGCACUGAAGUGGUCGGAACCCUGUUCCCCCCCCCAGCCGGUGGGGGUUAUCCCGGCGCCGUCCCACAAGUUCUACUCCUCAGCUGUGAGUGCAACUACCCUGCCUCUGAUACAAGUGCUCUGCUGAGCUAAGAUGGCGGCUUCUGAGCCAGCUCCUGACACACUCGAGCAACGACUGGAGGAGGUCUUCCGCAAGUUCUGGCAGAAGCUGCAGAAGAGGGGUGAUCAACCUUCGAGAGAGCAGCGCAGAAACACCAAGCUGCAGAACAUACCUCCCAAAAAUUUGCACCCUGCGGCAGACAUGCAUCAGAGACUACUGACAGCACCUGUCUCUAAGAAGCCACAACGGAACAAGGCCCCCUUGAAAAUUACCUACUCACGCCACAAGAUACCCAGCGCCCGAUAUCGCGUUCCUGGGAGAGGGGCCUGGUGGGAGAAGAUCCUGAUGCCGACCCCAUUCUGCUGGAAGAAGCAACAUCAAACUACACCUUCCCGAGGCUUAGCUGGUGGAGCGAAAAGCAACCAGAGUACUGGGACAUGCACAUGGGCUCCUGAGAGGGCCUGGGGCAAACGGCAAAGCCAGUAUUGGACAACCGAGACACUGACACCUAACGUAUCUCAGAUAAUGAGCAUGGGUAUCGGAUGAAGAGCUGGGAUGCCAGGGUGGGAGAGAUCACAAGAGCCCGGGCUAGAUAUUGUAGUCUCCCUCUAUAACUAACUGAUUGCUUGUUUUACCUAUUGUCUUUUUAUGUUAUUUUAAUAUCUAAGCGACACCCUCCUACCGAGAUCCUGGAACCCAGUGGGCUCAUAGCUUACUCUGUAUUAAUUUGAACCCCCGCCAUGUUUCACGGGGGCCAUCUUGUCUGCAACCACUAACACAUGCUCAGCUUCCCCAUCUUGAAAAGAUACGCGGAGUCAGAUGGUAGAUAGACAGUCAUACUCCCUUUACUCCACCAUACUAGCGUUAGUUGUCAGCAGCUCAUACUGUUUUAACUAGUUGAGUCCAGUUUAACUGUCUAACCUGUCAGUUUAAGCGCACCCUAACUACUGGGACAUAAUUACAUAGCCUGUAUUACUCUUGUUAAACUAAAAAUGUGCAAGUUUACCAAAGCCAUGACAAUGUCCUUGUGUGAAAGUUUGUGCUUGCAGAGGCUACUGUGGCUAAGCAUACCUUUUUGUAUAUAUCUGCACACAAAAUACAGAAUUAUAUACAAGAAACUCAAGCCUGCCCAAAUAUGACUAUAAUAUCAAUGUAUUUGUACAGCUGACACUGCAAUGUUACCAUUGCUUAAAUUCUUGGACCAUGGUUACUUUAAUGCUUUCUUUAGGUAUAUAAGCUUGCCGAUCUCACACGAUGCCUCAGGCUAGCCGCACUGAUUUAGCUUAAACCAUAUCGUUAAUAGUUCAUCUGCUGUAUCGUUACCUUUUUCACUUUUAUAAAAAUGUAUGCAUCUCCAACUUGCCACAACACUGUUAUCAUAUGUCUAUAAAUAAUCGAGCCUGCUAUUGCUGUUGUGGCGACACAGGCACUGUUGUAACUACC